CGCGUGUAGCAGUGAAAUGCGUAGAUAUGUGGAGGAAUACCAAUGGCGAAGGCAGCCCCCUGGGAUAACACUGACGCUCAUGCACGAAAGCGUGGGGAGCAAACAGGAUUAGAUACCCUGGUAGUCCACGCCCUAAACGAUGCCGACUAGUUGUUGGGAAUUUACAUUCUCAGUAACGUAGCUAACGCGUGAAGUCGGCCGCCUGGGGAGUACGGUCGCAAGAUUAAAACUCAAAGGAAUUGACGGGGACCCGCGCAAGCGGUGGAUGAUGUGGAUUAAUUCGAUGCAACGCGAAAAACCUUACCUACCCUAGACAUGUCUGGAAUCCCGAAGAGAUUUGGGAGUGCUCGCAAGAGAACUGGAACACAGGUGCUGCAUGGCUGUCGUCAGCU
rnacentral:rRNA from 1 species